CGGGGUAGAGCUCAGCAGUAAAGCGCGUGCUUAGUAUGUGUGAGGUCCUGGGUUCAAUCCCCAGUAUCUCCA
rnacentral:tRNA from 1 species